rnacentral:rRNA from 1 species
UACAGAGGUCUCAAGCGUUGUUCGGAUUCAUUGGGCGUAAAGGGUGCGUAGGUGGCGGGGUAAGUCAGGUGUGAAAUUUCGGAGCUUAACUCCGAAACUGCAUUUGAUACUGCCUUGCUUGAGGACUGGAGAGGAGACUGGAAUUCCUGGUGUAGCGGUGGAAUGCGCAGAUAUCAGGAGGAACACCGAUGGCGAAGGCGGGUCUCUGGGCCGAUACUGACGCUGGAGGAG